ACUCAAAUGAAUAGACGGGGGCCCGCACAAGCGGUGGAGUAUGUGGCUUAAUUCGAUGCAACGCGAAGAACCUUACCAGGCCUUGACAUGCAUUGCUAAUUUGGUGAAAGCCAAAGACGGUAGCAAUACCGACCUUGCACAGGUGCUGCAUGGCUGUCGUCAGCUCGUGUCGUGAGAUGUUGGGUUAAGUCCCGCAACGAGCGCAACCCUUAUGGACUGUUGCUAGCGGUUCUGCCGCGCACUCUGUUCAGACUGCCCUGUGAAACGGGGAGGAAGGUGAGGAUGACGUCAAGUCAGGAUGGCCCUUACGGCCUGGGCUGCACACGUACUACAAUGUCCAGCACAAAUUGACCCGAGGCUGCGAAGCUGAGGAAAUCACUAAAACUGGACCCAAUUCGGAUUGCAGGCUGCAACUCGCCUGCAUGAAGCUGGAAUCGCUAGUAAUGGCGCAUCAGCUACGGCGCCGUGAAUACGUUCCCGGGCCUUGUACACACCGCCCGU
rnacentral:rRNA from 1 species